rnacentral:rRNA from 1 species
GUGACAGCCGCCGCGGUAAUACAGAGGUGGCAAGCGUUGUUCGGAAUUACUGGGCGUAAAGGGCGCGUAGGCGGUUUGUCAAGUCCCGUGUGAAAGCCCUCGGCUCAACCGAGGAAUGGCGCGGGAUACUAGCAGGCUUGAGUUCGGGAGAGGGAAGCGGAAUUCCGGGUGUAGCGGUGAAAUGCGCAGAUAUCCGGAGGAACACCGGUGGCGAAGGCGGCUUCCUGGACCGACACUGACGCUGAGGCGCGAAAGCUAGGGGAGCAAACGGGAUUAGAUACCCGCGUAGUCC